rnacentral:lncRNA from 1 species
AAAUAAAGGUAUUUACUCAUUUUAAAUUGUAUAGGUUUAGUGUUUGUCGUGCAUGAAUUUCACUGUGCACUUUAUUAUGAGCUAUAGCUCUCAAUAAAUAAUAUUUAUAAUAAUAUAAAAAAAAAAAAUCUGAUAUACAGCUCUUUUGUACUAAAACAAAAAUCCAGCAAAGUUAGCGUUAGCUAUUUAUCUAGCUACAUUUCUUCAGUUAAACCUCCAGUUCUAAUAUUCCUGGUGUAUUAUUAUUAUUUUAUUUUAUACUGAGUUUUAAAGCUAUGUAAGCUCUCCCCUCCUUCGGUCGACGCCUCCCCUCGCAGUGAGCUCAUCCAUCACCCAAACCCAAACCAGGAGCCGAGGAGAUCCAGCUGUAGAGCAGAGGACCCUGUUUUUCCACCCGCCCCCGGCACUCAGCAGCUCCCUGUACCCCCAUGCUCGCUGUCCGGCCGCCGCGGAGCUCCCAGCCUCGGUCGGGUCCGGAGGGAGACCGAAUGCGGCGGGUGAGGGUGAAGACGGAGUGCUGAGAUGCUGAAAUGCUGUGAAUGAAUAAAUAAGGCAUGAGCUCGGCUGCGGCCAGCCUGGCUCUGGGGCUGCUCGGGCCGACCGAGCGCAGUCGCUGCUGUCGACGCCGUUCCAGCUCAGCCUAGCCGCCCGCCGCCCGCCUCGCUCUCCGCGCUCCAGCCGCCCGAGCAGCGCUGCGCCCCGGCGUGCCGAGUCGAGGAGCCCCGCGGGAAAGGGCCUCGGCCCGCAGGUGAAGACCACUGAAACUACGGCGUUUUUUUGCGUUUGCGUUGUUUUUGGAGCGUAAAUAAGAGGAGGAUACCGACAGUGUUCGCCUGUGCUCGGUGAGGCUGAAUGUCUCUCGACCUUCCACUGUUGCAGGAACCUGCAUAUCUCUGCCAGGUUGAGGCUCUGUUUUCUAUCAAUGGAUAUGUGGACCCCAUGUGCAACAAGAACUUGAGAUCUUUAACUUGCAUCAUCCUGCCUGAUUUCUGAUCACCUCACUGCCUUCAAAUGAACUGAUGCAAUAAACUGUAGAACUUUUGUGCUGGAGCGUAAAUC